rnacentral:rRNA from 1 species
ACGGGGUGCAGCAGGCGAGAAAACUUUGCAAUGCGCGAAAGCUCGACAAGGUUAAUCUGAGUGGUUCCUGCUAAAGGAACCUUUUGUUAGUCGUAGAACCACUGAUGAAUAAGGGGUGGGCAAGUUCUGGUGUCAGCCGCCGCGGUAAAACCAGCACCUCAAGUGGUCAGGAUGAUUAUUGGGCCUAAAGCAUCCGUAGCCUGUUCUGUAAGUUUUCGGUUAAAUCCAUAAGCUCAACUUAUGGGCUGCCGAAAAUACUGCAGGACUAGGGAGUGGGAGAGGUAGACGGUACUCGGUAGGAAGGGGUAAAAUCCUUUGAUCUAUUGAUGACCACCUGUGGCGAAGGCGGUCUACCAGAACACGUUCGACGGUGAGGGAUGAAAGCUGGGGGAGCAAACCGGAUUAGAUACCCGGGUAGUCCCAGCUGUAAACGAUGCAAACUCGAUGAUGCGUUGGCUUGUUGCUAGCGCAGUGUCGCAGGGAAGCCGUUAAGUUUGCCGCCUGGGAAGUACGUACGCAAGUAUGAAACUUAA